rnacentral:rRNA from 1 species
GACGAACGCUGGCGGCGCGCCUAACACAUGCAAGUCGAACGAGCGAGAGAGAGCUUGCUUUCUCGAGCGAGUGGCGAACGGGUGAGUAACGCGUGAGGAACCUGCCUCAAAGAGGGGGACAACAGUUGGAAACGACUGCUAAUACCGCAUAAGCCCACGGCUCGGCAUCGAGCAGGGGGAAAAGGAGCAAUCCGCUUUGAGAUGGCCUCGCGUCCGAUUAGCUAGUUGGUGGGGUAACGGCCCACCAAGGCGACGAUCGGUAGCCGGACUGAGAGGUUGAACGGCCACAUUGGGACUGAGACACGGCCCAGACUCCUACGGGAGGCAGCAGUGGGGAAUAUUGCACAAUGGGGGAAACCCUGAUGCAGCGACGCCGCGUGGAGGAAGAAGGUCUUCGGAUUGUAAACUCCUGUUGUUGGGGAAGAUAAUGACGGUACCCAAAAAGGAAGUGACGGCUAACUACGUG